rnacentral:rRNA from 1 species
CCUACGGGAGGCAGCAGUGGGGAAUAUUGGACAAUGGGCGCAAGCCUGAUCCAGCAAUGCCGCGUGAGUGAUGAAGGCCUUAGGGUCGUAAAGCUCUUUUACCAGGGAUGAUAAUGACAGUACCUGGAGAAUAAGCUCCGGCUAACUCCGUGCCAGCAGCCGCGGUAAUACGGAGGGAGCUAGCGUUGUUCGGAAUUACUGGGCGUAAAGCGUACGUAGGCGGUUAUUCAAGUCAGAGGUGAAAGCCCGGGGCUCAACCCCGGAACGGCCUUUGAAACUAGGUAGCUAGAAUCUUGGAGAGGUCAGUGGAAUUCCGAGUGUAGAGGUGAAAUUCGUAGAUAUUCGGAAGAACACCAGUGGCGAAGGCGACUGACUGGACAAGUAUUGACGCUGAGGUACGAAAGCGUGGGGAGCAAACAGGAUUAGAUACCCUGGUAGUCCACGCCGUAAACGAUGAUAACUAGCUGUUCGGGCACUUGGUGCUUGAGUGGCGCAGCUAACGCAUUAAGUUAUCCGCCUGGGGAGUACGGCCGCAAGAUUAAAACUCAAAUGAAUUGACGG